UGCGGAAGGAUCAUUACCGAGUCGUCGACACGAGUUGUUGCUGGUCCUCGAAAGGGGGCAUGUGCACGCUCUGUUUACACAUCCACUCACACCUGUGCACCCUCUGUAGUUCUAUGGUCUGGGGGGCCCUGCCUCCCUUCCGUGGUUCUGCAUCUUUACACACACUGUAAUGAAGUCUUAUGGAAUGUACACCGCGUUUAACGCAAUACAAUACAACUUUCAGCAACGGAUCUCUUGGCUCUCGCAUCGAUGAAGAACGCAGCGAAAUGCGAUAAGUAAUGUGAAUUGCAGAAUUCAGUGAAUCAUCGAAUCUUUGAACGCACCUUGCGCCCUUUGGCUAUUCCAAAGGGCAUGCCUGUUUGAGUAUCAUGAACACCUCAACUCUCAUGGCUCGCCAUGAUGAGCUUGGACUUUGGGGGCUUUGCCGGCCUGCGGUCGGCUCCUCUCAAAUGAAUCAGCUUGCCAGUGUUUGGUGGCUUCACAGGUGUGAUAACUAUCUACGCUUGCGAUUGUCCACCAGGUAACCUUCAGUGACGGAGGUUCGCUGGGGCUCAUAGACGUCUCUCCUCAGCGAGGACAGUUUUUUAAAGUUCGAUCUCAAAUCAGGUAGGAUUACCCGCUGAACUUAAGCAU
rnacentral:rRNA from 1 species